rnacentral:rRNA from 1 species
GCUUAGUACGGCGAGUGAGCGGCAAAAGCUCAAAUUUGAAAUCUGGUACCUUCGGUGCCCGAGUUGUAAUUUGGAGAGGGCAACUUUGGGGCCGUUCCUUGUCUAUGUUCCUUGGAACAGGACGUCAUAGAGGGUGAGAAUCCCGUGUGGCGAGGAGUGCGGUUCUUUGUAAAGUGCCUUCGAAGAGUCGAGUUGUUUGGGAAUGCAGCUCUAAGUGGGUGGGUAAAUUCCAUCUAAAGCUAAAUAUUGGCGAGAGACCGAUAGCGAACAAGUACAGUGAUGGAAAGAUGAAAAGAACUUUGAAAAGAGAGUGAAAAAGUACGUGAAAUUGUUGAAAGGGAAGGGCAUUUGAUCAGACAUGGUGUUUUGUGCCCUCUGCUCCUUGUGGGUAGGGGAAUCUCGCAUUUCACUGGGCCAGCAUCAGUUUUGGUGGCAGGAUAAAUCCAUAGGAAUGUAGCUUGCCUCGGUAAGUAUUAUAGCCUGUGGGAAUACUGCCAGCUGGGACUGAGGACUGCGACGUAAGUCAAGGAUGCUGGCAUAAUGGUUAUAUGCCGCCCGUCUUA